UACGGAGGGUGCAGGCGUUAUCCGGAUUCACUGGGUUUAAAGGGUGCGUAGGCGGGCAGGUAAGUCCGUGGUGAAAUCUCUGAGCUUAACUCAGAAACUGCCAUGGAUACUAUUUGUCUUGAAUAUUGUGGAGGUGAGCGGAAUAUGUCAUGUAGCGGUGAAAUGCUUAGAUACGACAUAGAACACCAAUUGCGAAGGCAGCUCACUACACAGUUAUUGACGCUGAGGCACGAAAGCGUGGGGAGCAAACAGG
rnacentral:rRNA from 1 species